rnacentral:rRNA from 1 species
UCCGUAGGUGAACCUGCGGAAGGAUCAUUACCGAGUGCGGGUCCUUUGGGCCCAACCUCCCAUCCGUGUCUAUUGUACCCUGUUGCUUCGGCGGGCCCGCCGCUUGUCGGCCGCCGGGGGGGCGCCUCUGCCCCCCGGGCCCGUGCCCGCCGGAGACCCCAACACGAACACUGUCUGAAAGCGUGCAGUCUGAGUUGAUUGAAUGCAAUCAGUUAAAACUUUCAACAAUGGAUCUCUUGGUUCCGGCAUCGAUGAAGAACGCAGCGAAAUGCGAUAACUAAUGUGAAUUGCAGAAUUCAGUGAAUCAUCGAGUCUUUGAACGCACAUUGCGCCCCCUGGUAUUCCGGGGGCAUGCCUGUCGAGCGUCAUUGCUGCCCUCAAGCCCGGCUUGUGUGUUGGGUCGCCGUCCCCCUCUCCGGGGGACGGGCCCGAAAGGCAGCGGCGGCACCGCGUCCGAUCCUCGAGCGUAUGGGGCUUGUCACAUGCUCUGUAGGAUUGGCCGGCGCCUGCCGACGUUUUCCAACCAUUCUUUCCAGUUGACCUCGGAUCAGGUAGGGAUACCCGCUGAACUUAAGCAUAUCAAUAAGCGGA